AGCAGCCGCGGUAAUACGUAGGUGGCAAGCGUUGUCCGGAAUUAUUGGGCGUAAAGCGCGCGCAGGCGGUUUCUUAAGUCUGAUGUGAAAGCCCCCGGCUCAACCGGGGAGGGUCAUUGGAAACUGGGGAACUUGAGUGCAGAAGAGGAGAGUGGAAUUCCACGUGUAGCGGUGAAAUGCGUAGAGAUGUGGAGGAACACCAGUGGCGAAGGCGACUCUCUGGUCUGUAACUGACGCUGAGGCGCGAAAGCGUGGGGAGCGAACAGGAUUAGAUACCCUGGUAGUCCACGCCGUAAACGAUGAGUGCUAAGUGUUAGAGGGUUUCCGCCCUUUAGUGCUGCAGCAAACGCAUUAAGCACUCCGCCUGGGGAGUACGGUCGCAAGACUGAAACUCAAAGGAAUUGACGGGGGCCCGCACAAGCGGUGGAGCAUGUGGUUUAAUUCGAAGCAACGCGAAGAACCUUACCAGGUCUUGACAUCCUCUGACAACCCUAGAGAUAGGGCUUCCCCUUCGGGGGCAGAGUGACAGGUGGUGCA
rnacentral:rRNA from 1 species